rnacentral:rRNA from 1 species
GACGAACGCUGGCGGCGUGCUUAACACAUGCAAGUCGAGCGGUAAGGCCCUUUCGGGGGUACACGAGCGGCGAACGGGUGAGUAACACGUGGGUGACCUGCCCUCAGCUCUGGGAUAAGCCCGGGAAACUGGGUCUAAUACUGGAUAUGACUCCAUGACGCAUGUUGUGGGGUGGAAAGCCUUGUGCGGCUGAGGAUGGGCCCGCGGCCUAUCAGCUUGUUGGGGGGUGA